UACGGGGGGGGCAAGCGUUGUUCGGAAUCACUGGGCGUAAAGGGCGCGUAGGCGGAUCUUUUAAGUCGGGGGUGAAAGCCCAGGGCUCAACCCUGGAAUUGCCUUCGAUACUGAAGAUCUCGAGACCGGAAGAGGUAAGUGGAACUGCGAGUGUAGAGGUGAAAUUCGUAGAUAUUCGCAAGAACACCAGUGGCGAAGGCGGCUUACUGGUCCGGUUCUGACGCUGAGGCGCGAAAGCGUGGGGAGCAAACAGG
rnacentral:rRNA from 1 species